rnacentral:rRNA from 1 species
CCUACGGGUGGCAGCAGUGAGGAAUAUUGGUCAAUGGACGAGAGUCUGAACCAGCCAAGUAGCGUGAAGGCUGACUGCCCUAUGGGUUGUAAACUUCUUUUAUAUGGGAAUAAAACGUUCCACGUGUGGGAUUUUGUAUGUACCAUAUGAAUAAGGAUCGGCUAACUCCGUGCCAGCAGCCGCGGUAAUACGGAGGAUCCGAGCGUUAUCAGGAUUUAUUGGGUUUAAAGGGAGCGUAGGUGGAUUGUUAAGUCAGUUGUGAAAGUUUGCGGCUCAACCGUAACAUUGCAGUUGAAACUGGCAGUCUUGAGUACAGUAGAGGUGGGCGGAAUUCGUGGUGUAGCGGUGAAAUGCUUAGAUAUAACGAAGAACUCCGAUUGCGAAGGCAGUUCACUGGACUGCAACUGACACUGAGGCUCGAAAGUGUGGGUAUCAAACAGGAUUAGAUACCCCAGUAGUC